AUGGUUUGGGUUGGAGGGGACCUUAAAGCCUGUCUGGUUCCAGCCCCCUGCCAUGGCAGGGACACCUCCCCCCAGCCCAGGCUGCCCCCAGCCCCAUCCAGCCUGGCCUUGGGCGCUGCCAGGGAUGGGGCACCCACAGCUCCUCAGGGCAGCCUACGACAGGGCCUCACCACCCUCAGAGUAAAGAAUUUCUUCCUAAUCACUAAUUUCUUCUGUCCUGCUCACCCACCACUGCAGGAGAGGACCCCCAAGGCCUACCCAUGGAAGAAGGAUCUUGUUCUUCUUAUACUCUCUGUCCUCUGCACUGAGGAGUGGUAUUGGAAACCUGGAGCAAGAGGUCAGGAGAGGAGCUACAAGCCCGAGGCAGGAGAGCAAAUGAUGAGGAAGGAAAGCCAGGGUGAUCUGGUGAAGCCUUAAAGGAGACUGAAUGUCCCAGGGUUGACAUCAACACUGCAGUGGACAGCUUCCAAAGGACACAUAAACCAACUCACUUCCAAAAAAAAAAAGUCUCUCCAGCAAUUUUGCCUGCAAAAAAAUAAAUGCAAGAUCCUCUCUCA
rnacentral:lncRNA from 1 species